rnacentral:snoRNA from 15 species
UAUAACACUUAGCUGAUGAUAUUACGAGUAGGAAUCUCAUUGAAAUAACCAUGAAAUCAAUUUUAUCUCCACUGAUAGCAUUAUG